GAUGAACGCUGGCGGCGUGCUUAACACAUGCAAGUCGAACGAAGCACUUUACUUGAUCUUUUCGGAGUGAUUGUUUUGUGACUGAGUGGCGGACGGGUGAGUAACGCGUGGGUAACCUGCUUCACCCCGGGGGAUAACAGUUGGAAACGGCUGCUAAUACCGCAUAAGCGCACAGUACCGCAUGGUACGGUGUGAAAAACUCCGGUGGUGUGAGAUGGACCCGCGUCUGAUUAGCUAGUUGGCAGGGCAACGGCCUACCAAGGCGACGAUCAGUAGCCGACCUGAGAGGGUGACCGGCCACAUUGGGACUGAGACACGGCCCAAACUCCUACGGGAGGCAGCAGUGGGGAAUAUUGCACAAUGGGGGAAACCCUGAUGCAGCGACGCCGCGUGAGCGAAGAAGUAUUUCGGUAUGUAAAGCUCUAUCAGCAGGGAAGAAGAAAUGACGGUACCUGACUAAGAAGCACCGGCUAAAUACGUGCCAGCCGCCGCCGUAA
rnacentral:rRNA from 1 species